rnacentral:misc_RNA from 1 species
GUAGAAUAUGUGGGCUGCAAGACCUCGGUGGUCACAUAAUGAAAAUUCCAAUUAUACUUUUCCAAGUCCUCCUCUGCAUGCGCCUGGAGGGAACACCUGCUGCUGCAAAACACAUUUCUCUUCCAGUUAUAUUCUUACCCAUAUUCCUAUUGCAAGGAGCUGGCAUCUUGUUUGCGACAUUAAGAUUUGUUGAGAAAACUGUUCUUUUAUUGCGAAGUGGAGCUGCUGUAGGACAAUACCAUGUGAUUUCUUCAAGAGUACGUGACUGCUUUGCAUUUAUGCAUCAUGGCUCCAGGCUACUUGGUUGGUGGUCCAUUGAUGAAUCAAGUCGAGAGGAACAAGCUCGACUAUACCAUGAUGGAUUUCCUGGGUAUAGUACUUUUUGUGGUUAUCCACCUGAAAUAGUCAAGAAAUUGCCCAAGAAGGAUCUUGCUGAGGAGGUUUGGAGACUUCAAGCAGCUCUGGGUGAGCAAGCAGAAAUCACUAAACUGAGCCAGCAGGAAUAUGAAAGACUUCAAAAUGAAAAAGUUCUAUGCAGGAUUUGCUUUGAAAGAGAGAUUAGUACAGUGCUACUCCCUUGCAGGCAUCGCGUCCUUUGCAGUUCCUGCUGUGAGAAAUGCGACAAUUGCCCCAUCUGCCGUGUCUGUAUCAACGAGCGCUUGCCUGUAUAUGAUGUCUAAGUUAAAUCCAUCAAGCUCUUCUGCCUUGUUAAAUGUCAAAUAUGAUACUCGGAAAUGUAGUUUACCAAAUUUUGGGGACUUAGACUGCACUAACGUAAUUAGGUAGGACAAAUUUUCA